UAUUUUCCUCUCCUCAUUUUCUCUCACGCCGCUCCACUCCCUCUCGUGAGUUCUCCUCUACCCCGAUUCAUCGUCGCCGACGUCGAGUGAAGCUGCCCACACUGCCGCUUGCCUUGUGGCCGAUGGAAAAGCCUCCACUACCUUCAGUUGAGCCCUCUUGCUCUCUGGUUGUGUUGAGCCUUCCGCUUCCCCUCCGCUUGGCGACGCCACAGAUCUGAUGCCUCUCUCGUCAGCCCUAAUUUGUUUUCGAUUGCAAGCAUGGGCUGUCGCCACUAGCCCCUUCUCCAUCCCUCCACUACCUCACCUCUAUUUCGGUCACCACUACUGUCUACCGAAUUUCAGUGAGCUACUACUGGAUGAGAGUCCGCGAGUCAUUGUGAAGGUCGCUAUGGCCAAAAUAUUAGACUAUCACUCUGUUGUGCUGCUGGAAUAGUGAGCCACUACCGAAGUAGCUGUUAGGAUUCGUACUCGAGAUGGAGCAUUGAAUCUAAGGAUGAUUUGGAUUUUCUAUAAUGAGGUGGGUAUUUCUUCUUAGACUCUUUAGUAGAUAUUGACCUUGGUGCAUGAUAUGUUUUCUUCAAAGUAAUAGCUCUAUUUUGCUUGACUCUAUUCACAUGUUACCUGAUGCUUGAUAUUUGUUUGCUUGUACUUUGAGUUAAUCAGUUUAUAUCGAUGUAGUCUCCUUUGUUUCCAUACUCUUGUAGUGUGCACACGUGUGUGGUGUGUACGAUAGGAUCAUGCAUGAUGUUGCAUAAUCAUGUAUCUAUUAGGCACGUGUGUGACAUGUAUGAUUGACAUAUAGCUAUUCAUAUGAUUAUAGA